rnacentral:rRNA from 1 species
CAGCCGCCGCGGUAAUACGAAGGGUGCAAGCGUUACUCGGAAUUACUGGGCGUAAAGCGUGCGUAGGUGGUUGUUUAAGUCUGCUGUGAAAGCCCUGGGCUCAACCUGGGAAUUGCAGUGGAUACUGGGCAACUAGAGUAAGGUAGAGGAUAGUGGAAUUUCCGGUGUAGCAGUGAAAUGCGUAGAGAUCGGAAGGAACAUCUGUGGCGAAGGCGACUAUCUGGGCCAUUACUGACACUGAGGCACGAAAGCGUGGGGAGCAAACAGGAUUAGAGACCCCGGUAGUCCCUGUCUCUUAUAC